rnacentral:pre_miRNA from 1 species
AUAACAUUUAGAUCGUUGGUCUACCGAGCAAUUUCGACCGCUCAGUGAAAGAUCUUCUCUUUGUCGU